rnacentral:rRNA from 1 species
UACGAAGGGGGCUAGCGUUGUUCGGAAUUACUGGGCGUAAAGCGCGCGCAGGCGGUUUUCCAAGUCAGUGGUGAAAGCCCGGAGCUCAACUCCGGAAAUGCCAUUGAAACUGUAAAACUUGAGGACGAGAGAGGUGAGUGGAAUUCCCAGUGUAGAGGUGAAAUUCGUAGAUAUUGGGAAGAACACCGGUGGCGAAGGCGGCUCUCUGGACCGUAACUGACGCUGAGGCGCGAAAGCGUGGGGAGCAAACAGG